rnacentral:tRNA from 1 species
GGGAUUUUAGUUUAAAUUAAAAUGUAAUCUUUGUAAGGUUAAGUUGUUAAGGUUUUGCAAGUCCCA